rnacentral:rRNA from 1 species
AUGUUGGAGAUUUUGGUCUUGCUAAGAUUCUUAAACGAGGGAAGCUCAUUACUCGAGCAGUCCACGAGCUCAACGGGAUUUCGAGGGACAAUUGGUUAUGCUGCCCCAGAGUAUGGUGUUGGAAACCCCGUGUCCAAGCAUGGAGAUGUUUACAGUUAUGGCAUUCUUGUGUUGGAAACAGCCACUGGAAAGAGGCCCACCGAUAGCAAAUUCAGACAAGGAUUGAGCCUUCGUGAGUAUGUUGAGCUUGGUCUAUGUGAUAGUAUGAUGGAGGUUGUGGACAUGCGGCUAUCGUUGGAUCUUGAGUAUGGGCUUCAAACUGUGAGUGCUUCUGCCUACAAGAGAACGACUGAUUGCCUUGUUUCGCUACUUAAACUCGGAAUUUCCUGCUCUCAGGAAUUGCCGUCAAGUAGAAUGCCAACCGGAGAUAUCGUCAAGGAACUUCAUGCCAUGAAAGAAUCUCUCUCGAGGGAGUAG